UACGUAGGCAGCAAGCGUUGUUCGGAGUUACUGGGCGUAAAGAGUGCGUAGGCGGUCUUUUAAGUUUGGUGUGAAAUCUCCCGGCUCAACUGGGAGGGUGCGCCGAAAACUGGAAGGCUUGAGGAUGGGAGAGGCAUGCGGAAUUCCUGGUGUAGCGGUGAAAUGCGUAGAUAUCAGGAGGAACACCUGUGGUGUAGACAGCAUGCUGGACCAUUUCUGACGCUGAGGCACGAAAGCGUGGGUAGCAAACAGG
rnacentral:rRNA from 1 species